rnacentral:rRNA from 1 species
UACCCGCAGCACAAGUGGUGGUCAUUAUUAUUGGGCCUAAAGCGUCCGUAGCUGGCGUGUUAGAUGCCUGGGUAAAUCGAUGCGCUCAACGUAUCGAAUUCCGGGUAGACCGGCACGCUCGAGACCGGGAGAGGUGUAGGGUACUCGGGGGGGUAGGGGUAAAAUCCUGUAAUCCUCCGGGGACGACCAGUGGCGAAGGCGCUACACUAGAACGGCUCUGACAGUGAGGGACGAAGCCCUGGGGCGCAAACCGG